rnacentral:tRNA from 1 species
CUCUGGGUGGCGCAAAUGGUUAAUGCGUUUGGCUGCUAACCAAAAGGUUUGUGGUUCGAACCCACCCAGGGG